CACGUAGGGCGCAAGCGUUGUCCGGAAUUAUUGGGCGUAAAGAGCUCGUAGGCGGUCUGUUGCGUCCGCUGUGAAAACUCGGGGCUUAACCCCGAGCCUGCAGUGGAUACGGGCAGACUAGAGGUAGGUAGGGGAGAAUGGAAUUCCCGGUGUAGCGGUGAAAUGCGCAGAUAUUGGGAGGAACACCAGUGGCGAAAGCGGACUUCUGGGCCAUUCCUGACGCUGAGGUACGAAAGCCAGGGGAGCAAACGGG
rnacentral:rRNA from 1 species